CUAAAGUAAUUUAGCUCUUUUUUAAUCGUUGUUUUUCAGUGUUUGCCCUGAGAUAACAAGACCGCAGAAAACUAACAAAUUCCAAGCAGCCAAGACAAUGAUGCAAUAAGCCUGACUUCUACUGCCCCACCUUUGCUUUGCCACUUUCUUACUUGAACAGCUUAGGCUCAGAGGGUGUUGUACUGCAGGCUGGAAGAGGAUUUAACUCUGGACCAGUCAGAUGAUACAAGAGUUCUCUUCUCAACACAUCAGUAGUGAUGGGCAAUGACACUUCAGAAGCCUAGUAAUGAAUUUGAGAGUCUGCACAUCCCUCAUAGCACAGUAGUUCACACAAGAGAUGUAAUUCUAUUGUGUUCCUUCCAAUGCUUGCCACAGACUCUCUAAGGAGCAAAGGAACUGUUAGUCACACUGCAAAAAGGGGAACUCCACUACAAUCAAGUGAAAAAUGCAGCCAUCAACUCCACAUUUUCUGAGGAUCCUCCUGAGAAACAGAAAAGCUAAGCAGUUGAUUUUAACACCUGCAGCCAACAAUAUCCUUGGAAUCAUGAGCAUGUCACUAUGUAAUCAGCAUGAGCAAGACACAGAGGCGAAACUGGGAACACCCAAACAGGCUGCAAACAGUCAGAUGAAGGGGACACAGAGUGCUGGUAAGGAUGUGUUACAAAGUGUACAAAGUAAGGUUUUUACUUACAAUCAAAAGACAAAAAUAUUAUGCCUUUUAAGUUAUUUCCUCUUCCAAUAGAGUGGAAUACAACUUUAGCUAUACUACUGCACAAAGAUGGAAAAGUAUGUUCCAGUCUUCUCCUGGAAUAGUUUAAGACUCUUUUUUGAAUACUGUUUGUGGAUUAUUCAUAAUUUGCUCUCCAUCAUUCAUUAUUCUCCUGUUUCAAAGAUUUCAAUCAUUUGGACAGAGAAUUGGAAAAAUCUUAGGAGACUUAAGUCACGAAUUACAUACCCCAAAUAAUAAAUGGCCAGGUCUCAAACUGAUUAUUUUCUGAAAGCCCAUGUGUUGCUAUUCAUUUAAGUAAGUUAUUUGGAAGAUACUUAAGAAUUACAGAUGUUUUUAGUAAUGAGAAUUGAUGAUAAAUAUAAAGAAGACUUCUUUACAACAAAGAUUGGUCUGGCUCUAAUAACAAUAACAACUAGCAUCAAGAA